rnacentral:rRNA from 1 species
UACGGAGGGUCCAAGCGUUAUCCGGAAUUAUUGGGCGUAAAGGAUGUGUAGGUGGUUAUAUUAGUCUAGUGUCUAACCUCUGAGCUCAACUUGGAGACAGCACUGGAAACGGUAUGACUAGAGUAUAGUAGGGGUAAGCGGAACUCAUAGUGUAGGGGUGAAAUCCGUUGAUAUUAUGGGGAACACCAAAAGCGAAGGCAGCUUACUGGACUAUUACUGACACUGAAACAUGAAAGCGUGGGUAGCGAAUGGG